CUAAGAGUUGUGGGAGAAAGAGAAGAUGAACCAAAAUUGGGUAUGAAAAAGUGAAGGUGGGCAUAGAGAAAAACCUGAAGUGGGUAAGUGGGUAUAUGAAAAAGCAUUGCAGGCAGAGAAUCAAGCUCCAUAGAAUUUGCAUUGUGGACCUGGGAUUUGUUCUCGUGGCUCGAGGUUGCUGUUAGAACAUGGAAUUGGAAGGUAAACACCCGUGACUGAUACGGCUAAAGUUUUUGCUUAUUUGUCCACACUACACUUGUUUUUAACAAGAAUGCACUGAUUCUUCUAUCACAAAAGAAUAUUGGAAACACCUUGCUAAGCCAAAUGUGGAUGGUUAUGAUUAUAAAAAAUGCAACACUGAAAAGGAGGACACAUGCAUAAUAACUGGUUAAGAUCACAGUAGCUUCAUAGAGUUUACUUCAAAUACUGCAAUUGCUACUGUUUAGGUUGGCUUUAUUACCACCAAUGAUGACCCAACAAAAGGGUAACUUAAUGAAAAAUUAUACUGCCAGAAUAAUUUGUUUUGUUUUCCUUUUUAGCUUCGAAUUAGAUACUAUAAAUACGUGUAUGAGGUGAAAAGUCAGAUCAAAAUAUGCACUUAAAAGGAUACAAGUUAUUGCAAUGUCUGAGGAACAGACAAAAAAGGUCAUAUGGAACAUUAAUUGAGUACUAAAAAGAUUGAGAAUUCAUAGAUAUUUCCCUCUCUGAUUUAUCUCAUCCUUUUAAGACAUUCUGCAAAUUGUGAUCAAAUAAGAAAUUGCCAAUGGUGUGACCACAAAAAAAAAUAUUCUAUAAAUUUUAAUGCGAAUCAAAAGGUCUUUCAUCAAUAUAGAGUAUACAUAUAUUUAUAUUCAAUUAUAUGGCAAAGAACAUAUCUACCUGUAUGGAUAGAAAAGAGUGGCACAAAGAGUUUUUUUUAUUUAUAUCUGAGGCUUGAAUUCUAAUGCGAAUAUAAUGGUUUGGCGCAUGAUCAAUGCAUGCAGAUACAAAGGUGUAAACAGUGAAGAAACAGAAACAUUUUUUUGGAAAGGACUGAAAAUUUGUGUACUGGAACAGGUAGAACAAUGAAACUGAUGUGAAAUGGAGAACAUUAAAAGCCUGUAAGAAUGUGAAUUAAGUUCUUCUCUCCCCGAUCUUGUCUUUAAUCUUUUUAUGUCAUUUCACUUUUGGUAUUUCCACCAACAUGCCUAAAACCUUAUCAUUUCGCAUAAAGCACUGGA
rnacentral:lncRNA from 1 species